UGCCAAUGGCACUGCCCGGUAGCUAAAUGCGGAAGAGAUAAGUGCUGAAAGCAUCUAAGCACGAAACUUGCCCCGAGAUGAGUUCUCCCUGACUCCUUGAGAGUCCUGAAGGAACGUUGAAGACGACGACGUUGAUAGGCCGGGUGUGUAAGCGCAGCGAUGCGUUGAGCUAACCGGUACUAAUGAACCGUGAGGCUUAACCUUACAACGCCGAAG
rnacentral:rRNA from 1 species